GGUGACGCCUGUUUAUUUGGUGUAAUAGCUGUUUACAGUUAGAACUUUAAAGACUUGCCAGAGUAGAUCUGCUGGAUUUUAAAGAUCUCAUCUUUCUUGUGGCAGAGACACAACACCAGCGUCGGGAAAGGCAACAGAUUGCUUCUGUCAUUUCGCUUUGCUGUUUUCGAGUGUACUUAAAGGAUUAUGAUUGAUAAGGCUGUCUUGCUGGAGAAUGUUGACACAGAACCGCAGUUCAUACUGGACUUCUGGCUGCCCGUGGAAGGAGGUGAUUCAGAAGACAGGAAGUGACAGGAAUCUAACAGCACAUUAAAGCCUCAAGACAAAGCAGUGAACUCCAGCAGUGUUGCCACCUUGAAGACGGGAGUGUGGAAGAGAGUCACGGAAAUGAAGAUUUGUCCUAAAGGGAUAUUUCUCCUGGCCCUGCCUUAGAGCUCCUGGGCCCUGGACUUUGUGAACAUGGAGACCAGGUACUAGAACUAAUUCUGGUGUGAAAUGGUCACUUGGAAGCACUCAUUAAAGACCAGCAUUCAGUUCUAGUGAUUAAUUUCCCUUUCAGUGCCUUCUACCCGAGCCGAAGUGCUUCUGCAGAGACGAAUUCUGUGAAGCCUGUUUAGGGGAUCAUCCCCUCUAGACAGACAGCUGCAAGGGGCAUCGCUUCCCAGCAUGGAUUUCAGAUUAUGACCAAUCAAAGGCCGGAGCUAAGGAACACCUGUCAGCGGCGGUUGCUGCAAGGAGACCAGCUCUUUAAUCGAAUUUCAUUGUACUUCAGAAAAAGGUUUAUUUUAAAUGUGGCGUCUGCUUUUAUGAUUCAUCCUUCUCAGCUUAGACAUCAAUUUGGGGCUUAUUUAUGAUGUUGUUUUAGGGUAAAACGAGAAACUGCAAGAAAAUAUUUCAAGAAAGUGGCCUUUCCCAGACAUUUAAUUAGCAACUUUCUCAGGUGGGAAAAUACAAAAUUGAAAACUUGAGUUUUGAAUUUUUGUGUGUGAAUAUAAUUAGUGUUAGGGAUUCUUUUGAGGACACUCCAGAAUGUUGAUAUUUGUCGUGAAGUCUGGAGAACUUGCCUUGUGGAAAUCCGUUCCUUUUCUGUGAGCAGUGCAAACUAUCAUUGAUACUGAUGGGUUCUGAAAGGCCAUGCCUGCUUUCAACUUGGCCCUAAUUGGAGGCCCUGCUAAGCCCAUAAGUCCAUAAUACCAGGUACUUUCUCACAACUGCAGACCAUGGAGUGUAACUAUCAGAAGACAAACUUCACUGUGCAAACUGUAACUUAAUGGUAUAACUGUGUGCAGCCCUGAAUAUCAGUUAAUUUUCAAAACAUUUUAUUCUACAGCAAUUAGCUCAGGUCCUGGAGGGCAAAAUGACAAGAGGUUACUCGUUCACUAUGUAUUUAAUUAAUUGAAAAAUGCUCCAAUUGCCUUUACAGUUGUUAUUAGAAAGCGGAAUCAGUGUUGCCAGCGCUCAACCAUAAUUGGAACCCCAGGGAAUUAAAUAUUUAGCAUUAGUAAUGUAACAGCACUUAGGACACAAAUUUCUAUUUUCGUAAUGAAAGCUAUACACUGUGAGUGCAAGCGGCUGAAAGGACAGCUGUGACAAGCGAAACGGCCUGGGACAUUUCAAUAAGACACCUCAUUGGACAGCAAGUCUUACCACAUUAUGCGUUUGUAAGAGACCUGCAAGUUUAAUUCCCACGAGGAACUCGUAGCCCAAGUCUUUAGCGUCCUAAUUGCAUGCAGGAUGAGUGGUCGGGCAAAUGUCUUGCCAUAAGUGCCUGAAAUUCAUCCUGCUUUCUAAAUAAUCGCAUAUAAGUUCGUGCCUUUGUCAAUUUAAAAAUACUGAGACUGUCAGGGAAUAAGGAUCUUAUUUGUUUUCCAUUUAAUUAUAUUUUAAGCACACAUGCUUUCUGUGCUACAAUGAGAAAAAGUUGGCUAUUGGGCUCUAAUGAGCUGCAGUGUAGACGCUGGAGACCCUGAGGGAUUCGCUCCGUAAAUUAGCUGGAUAAAAAGUACUUGGUUAGGAUAUAGUUGAUGGCUGAGCUGUUCACAGAACCAGUUACAGCACUGUCUCUCGCUCCUGUUUCGUUCUAAACAGGCUCUGUAGAGACUUUAACAGCUGCCUGUCAAAGCUGCUCAGCUUGUCAGAAUGUAUUCUAUUACUCCACUAAUAAAUAGUAUUAAAGGGUAUUUGACUUCACCUCUCAUUUUCAGAGGGGAUCAGGUUGGUAAACACAACUGGCUUAGGCUGGCCUUAUUUUAAUUUGUUUAUGUCAGCUAAGUAAUAUUGAAGGGUCGUGUUUUAAAUUUGCAAACAUUACCUUCCCAGGGAGGCAGAGCUUCCAAAAUAUGAUACGCAGUGGAAACAAGGGAUUGAGACACUUAUUGUAGAAUGUUUCUCAUUGAAAACGUCAGAUUUUGACAUUCUUAGGCCACAUUUAAAGAACUUGAGAGCCCAUGGCUAAGCUGACAGUCUUAGAAAGUUUGGUUCCUUUGCCUUUUUCAUUUCUAGGAAAAUAAAAGCCAUAAGAUAAAUAAUGUCACAACUUCCUUUUGAUUUUCCAUUGUUCCUAUGUCUGUUUUGAAUUAUUCUGAGUAAUCAUGAUUUUGUAUCCAUUCUUAAACAUUUUUUUCAAAACAAUGCAUGUUUACUUAAAAAAAAAAAAACUUCAUUUGAUAAAGUCUUCCUUAGACCUGCCUUCAGCCCUGUC